UUGGAGAAAUUAUGUGCCCGUUUCAUUUGCUUCUAAACCACGUGUUCUUUAUUCCGGCGGCCAGAGAAAUAUUAGUUUUUCCUCAUUCUCUGUGCAUACUUUCAACUAAUGCUCCUUCAAGCAUUUCAGUUCUCUUCAUCUUCUUCGUUCAUUUUCAUCUUCUCAACCGAUGUUGUAAUUUCAGAGAAAGUUUUUCCCCAUGUGGAAGCGUCAACAUUGGUGUUUAUUGCUUCUUUUUGUUUGCAGAGUGAUCAUUCUACUAUGGAAAUUGAGGUAGUUAGAUAUUAGACAUUUUUGCUUGAAAAAUGGUGGUUUUACUUUUAUUUUCUGGGUGAAAAAUUUCUCAAAAAUUGUAGCGGAGACAAUUUUAGAUUUUCACAGUGAACAUUCCAUUCAGGAAAUGAAUGGAAGAUGUACUUCAACAGUGAUUUUCAAGUCUUUGUUUAACUUCAACGAGGCAUGUGGACUUCCUAUAGCUAUUUGGAAAAAAUAAUUCAUGGAUUACGUACAUGUGAGAAAUACAUGUAGCAUUUGGUUGGACUUCUUCGUGAAUGUAAUAUGAAGAGCGGAGCAAGAUUUUCAGUACUUGAAUGCUCUGAUGCAAAAUUAUUUCUUAUUUCAAAACUGCAGUUAUUUUGUUAUUAUGUGACUUACUGUUGCUGAUUUCCAAGUGUCA